rnacentral:ncRNA from 1 species
CCGUCCUAGUCUCAACCAUAAACGAUGCCGACCAGGGAUCGGCGGAUGUUGCUUAUAGGACUCCGCCGGCACCUUAUGAGAAAUCAAAGUCUUUGGGUUCCGGGGGGAGUAUGGUCGUCAGGCUGAAACUUAAAGGAAUUGACGGAAGGGCACCACCAGGCGUGGAGCCUGCGGCUUAAUUUGACUCAACACGGGGAAACUUACCAGGUCCAGACAUAGCAAGGAUUGACAGACUGAGAGCUCUUUCUUGAUUCUAUGGGUGGUGG